rnacentral:rRNA from 1 species
GAUGAACGCUGGCGGCGUGCCUAAUACAUGCAAGUCGAGCGAACAGAUGAGGAGCUUGCUCCUCUGACGUUAGCGGCGGACGGGUGAGUAACACGUGGAUAACCUACCUAUAAGACUGGGAUAACUUCGGGAAACCGGAGCUAAUACCGGAUAAUAUAUUGAACCGCAUGGUUCAAUAGUGAAAGACGGUUUUGCUGUCACUUAUAGAUGGAUCCGCGCCGCAUUAGCUAGUUGGUAAGGUAACGGCUUACCAAGGGAACGAUGCGUAGCCGACCUGAUAGGGUGGUCGGCCACAUUGGAAGUGAGACGCGGUCCAGACUCCUACGGGAGGCAGCAGUAGGGAAUCUUCCGCAAUGGGCGAAAGCCUGACGGAGCAACGCCGCGUGAGUGAUGAAGGUCUUCGGAUCGUAAAACUCUGUUAUUAGGGAAGAACAAAUGUGUAAGUAACUGUGCACGUCUUGACGGUACCUAGUCAGAAAGCCACGGCUAACUACGUG